CAGCAGCCACGGUAAUACGGAGGGGGCUAGCGUUGUUCGGAAUUACUGGGCGUAAAGCGCACGUAGGCGGUCAUUCAAGUCAGAGGUGAAAGCCCGGAGCUCAACUCCGGAAUUGCCUUUGAAACUAGGUGACUUGAACACGGGAGAGGUGAGUGGAAUUCCGAGUGUAGAGGUGAAAUUCGUAGAUAUUCGGAAGAACGCCAGUGGCGAAGGCGGCUUACUGGCUCAUUCUAGACGCUGAGGUGCGAAAGCGUGGGGAGCAAACAGGAUUAGAUACCCCCGUAGUCCCUGUCUCUUAUAA
rnacentral:rRNA from 1 species